AGAGUUUGAUCAUGGCUCAGAUUGAACGCUGGCGGCAUGCCUUACACAUGCAAGUCGAACGCGAAAGCGGAGCAAUCCGCAAGUAGAGUGGCGAACGGGUGAGUAAUACAUCGGAACAUAUCCAGUAGCGGGGGAUAACCUGUCGAAAGAUAGGCUAAUACCGCAUACGAUCUACGGAUGAAAGCGGGGGACCGCAAGGCCUCGCACUAUUGGAGUGGCCGAUGUCGGAUUAGCUAGUUGGUGAGGUAAAGGCUUACCAAGGCGACGAUCCGUAGCUGGUCUGAGAGGACGAUCAGCCACACUGGAACUGAGACACGGUCCAGACUCCUACGGGAGGCAGCAGUGGGGAAUUUUGGACAAUGGGCGCAAGCCUGAUCCAGCCAUGCCGCGUGAGUGAUGAAGGCCUUCGGGUUGUAAAGCUCUUUCAGAUGUGAAGAUAAUGACGGUAGCAUCAGAAGAAGCUCCGGCUAACUCCGUGCCAGCAGCCGCGGUAAUACGGAGGGAGCGAGCGUUGUUCGGAUUUACUGGGCGUAAAGCGUAUGUAGGCGGCUUCGUAAGUCAGAUGUGAAAUCCCAGAGCUUAACUUUGGAACUGCAUUUGAGACUGCAAGGCUUGAGUAUCGGAGAGGUUGGCGGAAUUCCUAGUGUAGAGGUGAAAUUCGCAGAUAUUAGGAGGAACACCGAUGGCGUAAGC
rnacentral:rRNA from 1 species